GAUGAACGCUGGCGGCGUGCCUAAUACAUGCAAGUCGAGCGAACAGACGAGGAGCUUGCUCCUCUGACGUUAGCGGCGGACGGGUGAGUAACACGUGGAUAACCUACCUAUAAGACUGGGAUAACUUCGGGAAACCGGAGCUAAUACCGGAUAAUAUAUUGAACCGCAUGGUUCAAUAGUGAAAGACGGUUUUGCUGUCACUUAUAGAUGGAUCCGCGCCGCAUUAGCUAGUUGGUAAGGUAACGGCUUACCAAGGCGACGAUGCGUAGCCGACCUGAGAGGGUGAUCGGCCACACUGGAACUGAGACACGGUCCAGACUCCUACGGGAGGCAGCAGUAGGGAAUCUUCCGCAAAGGGCGAAAGCCUGACGGAGCAACGCCGCGUGAGCGAUGAAGGUCUUCGGAUCGUAAAACUCUGUUAUUAGGGAAGAACAAAUGUGUAAGUAACUAUGCACGUCUUGACGGUACCUAAUCAGAAAGCCACGGCUAACUACGUG
rnacentral:rRNA from 1 species